CGCCUCAUCCCCUGCCCCCGCGGCCUCCUCUGUUGCAUGCAUCACUGGGAGACACGGGUUUUUUUGGGAGGAGAUGAACCGUGCUGCAGCUGGCCGGAGAUGGCAGGCGAGCGGUGCUUGUGUACAGGAGCCAGGCGGCACCCAGGGAGGAGCCCACGGCACCCUGCAACCCAGCUGCGGCACCCUCACCCUGCGCCCACUGCUGGCACCGCUCGGCUCCCAGCUGACCGCCUCUUGCUCCCUGGUGCCUGGCUGCCUGGGAGGCAGCUCCCCCCGCC